AUAGAUGGAGAGGGUGGUGGUGUUAGGGGAACAGCUCCAAGCGGGGAUGCAGGGUGCAGGGAUGAUGGCAGCAGUCACCAUCACCACCCUCCACCAGCAACGUUAUUCCCACUCUGACCUGUGUCACUCUCAUGGCAGCCCCAGAGACAAACCAGGGCAAGGAGAACCACCCCAACAGGUGCACAUCCCAAGGCACAGAGCACUGAAGAUGAAAAAGAGGAGAUGUCUAGUCAAGCCACCUUCGCUUCUCCCUUGCCUGGCUCUACAGCCUCUGAACAGCCAACCUCUACCCAAAGCCCACAGGUCUGGGUGAGUUCCCUGUGGUGCUAUAAGCCCGGUCUUAGUCACAGAGGUGACUUCCCUCUGUUACAACUAAGGCAUAGCAGGCAGCAACUGCCAGAGAGCUAUAAUAACUCACUAAUCCUAUUCACUGGGCUGCUCUGACUCAUUCAGGUGCCUCCUAGAUCCCUCCUGGAUCCCAGUGUCCACUUUCUGGCUGAGACUUGGGCCACUGUACUUAACAGGAUGUCCAGUCUGGGCCCCUCCUAGCCCAACAUGCACAACUGCUCAGGCCCUGGGGAGGCCCACAGUACAGAUCCUCCUCAAGCCAGGGACAUCCAGAAGAAUGGCCAAGCUCCCACACUAGGGACCAGGGGCAGGAAAAAAUUGCAUCUAGUCUCCUCUGUGAUGGGACACUACCUUCCCCAACCACCCUGGACCUUCCAGAUACCUUUCAGGUACUGACUCACCAAUAGCAGACAGGGUGAGAUACAGCCAGAUAGAGAAACUAGAAUGCUGUGGAGUGUUCAGGAAGAUUAGGAGAAUUAGAGACCAGGAAGAAGAGCAGUAAGUCCCACAGCUGGGCACAAGAAUUGAGCCAGGUAUAGCCAGAGUUGUAGGAUUCUACCUAUAUGGGUAGUGUUCCCAGCCAGUGCAGCAUGACAGAGUCAUCUCCUUAGGUCAAGGGAGGACGAGCUUUGUGCAGGAGCUGGCAGGGACCUGCCAAAAGCUGUUUAUCUGGCUACUUCUGGGGCAAAGUGGUGGCUGGCAGCCCAAGGACGCUUAUCUGCAAGGCUGCUUAAAAAUUCAUGUUAACUCAAUUCAGGACAAGAAAUGGACAAUCUCAGCUUAUUAAAGUCAGAUCAGGUAAUUCUGGAAGAACCACUGGAAGAGCAUCCUGAAAGAUUAAUGUUUCUCAGAACACAUGUUGGAAAACUCUGCCCUAUAUCAUGUUGACUCCAUCUCAGAAGACAGGAUUGGAUUAUAAACAAGACCAGAAGACAGGAUUGGAUUAUAAACAAGACCUAAAAGCAGGAGUCUGGGAGCUGUGGACUGAGUUAAAGGAGAGGAGAAAGGCCAGAGACCUGCCCCACCGCCGCCCGCCCCGGGUCCUAACUCCACUGCUGAUGCCCUCAGUGAUCUUGGCCAAGUCCCUGCCCCCUCCAGGCCUGUCGUGAAUUAAGGAAGGUGUUAAUUAGAUGAGGAG
rnacentral:lncRNA from 1 species